GGAUCAGUAUCAUGGGGAUGCAACUGAAGUACAAUAAUUUUCUGAGGUUUUUUUUUAGAAAUGCGCCAUCUAGUGACGGAUGCCCCGUAACUUGGGUAUUUGUACUUCGUUUUAGUCACUAGAUGUCACUGCACCUUAGACCGAUAUUUCAUCGAUUUAAUAACAAAUCUAAAAAAAGUUUUGUGAUUAGAAAUAUUAACAAAUAUUGUAAUUAAAUAAUUUUAUGAUUUAUUUUUAAUUCUUUUUUAUCUAUGAGGACGUCUUAGUUAAUCACAAUAAUCACACUACUUGAAACCACUUGAAACACUGACGAUUGACAUUGACAGUCGACCAUACUUUUAAAUUAAACCGUUUUCCGUUUUCUAACGUGUUGGUUUAUUCUGAGUGUUAUUUUCUGGUUUUUUUAUUACGAUUGUUGCGUGUUCCUGGACUCUGAUACUGACUGCUUCUGUGAUUGACCUGGCUUCGUAUUUUGGACCUGUGAUCUACUGCAUUUUCAUUGACCCGGCUUUGUAUUUUGGAACCUCGAUCGACUGCUUUUACAUUGACCCGGCACCGUAUUUAGGACUAGAAAAUGCGUCCAGUGGAUCGUCUUAGGGGCGGAAUGCCAUCAACGUCAAGAUAUAAGUGCUACUUUGAUUGUGACAAUGACGGCCCAUUGCACCGAUUUCCUAAACCUGAAUACCCACAUUUGGAAAAGUUUAACUCGUGGAAAAAGUACUAGAUAAAGCUUUACAAGAGAAAGGCGACAUCUACAUUUAUAACCAAAUUCGAUUUUGCGACAGACAUUUUGAAGAGUGUUACCGUUCAGCCAGUCACCGACUUACUCCAAAUGCAAUACCAACUCUAGAUUUAUCUACAUUACCAGUUGGUCAAACUCUUGAAGGUCCAUCGGGACAUGUCGAGGCAGACAUGUCGAAUUUAUUAAACAUUUCGCAAGAUAAACUUGCUGUCAUUGAGCCAUCCAGCUCUACCCACUAUCAUAGUGAUGUACAGAAUGCAUUACAGACAGCUGAACGCCCUAAAGGUUCUAGGAAAAGAGGGACUUGUCAAUAUUUAAAACGAGUCGUCACCUCCAAAGAGAAGGAGAUAAUAAAGUUAAAACAGAAAGUAUUGAAGCUGAAAAAGAAAUAUAAGGAACAAAAUAACAAGAAACUCUCUGCAAGGAAAAUUUCCACAUCAAAAUCAUUUUGAAAGAGUUAAAUAA